rnacentral:rRNA from 2 species
AGUCGAGCGAACAGAAGGGAGCUUGCUCCCGGAUGUUAGCGGCGGACGGGUGAGUAACACGUGGGUAACCUGCCUGUAAGACUGGGAUAACUCCGGGAAACCGGAGCUAAUACCGGAUAGUUCCUUGAACCGCAUGGUUCAAGGAUGAAAGACGGUUUCGGCUGUCACUUACAGAUGGACCCGCGGCGCAUUAGCUAGUUGGUGGGGUAAUGGCUCACCAAGGCGACGAUGCGUAGCCGACCUGAGAGGGUGAUCGGCCACACUGGGACUGAGACACGGCCCAGACUCCUACGGGAGGCAGCAGUAGGGAAUCUUCCGCAAUGGACGAAAGUCUGACGGAGCAACGCCGCGUGAGUGAUGAAGGUUUUCGGAUCGUAAAGCUCUGUUGUUAGGGAAGAACAAGUGCGAGAGUAACUGCUCGCACCUUGACGGUACCUAACCAGAAAGCCACGGCUAACUACGUGCCAGCAGCCGCGGUAAUACGUAGGUGGCAAGCGUUGUCCGGAAUUAUUGGGCGUAAAGGGCUCGCAGGCGGUUUCUUAAGUCUGAUGUGAAAGCCCCCGGCUCAACCGGGGAGGGUCAUUGGAAACUGGGAAACUUGAGUGCAGAAGAGGAGAGUGGAAUUCCACGUGUAGCGGUGAAAUGCGUAGAGAUGUGGAGGAACACCAGUGGCGAAGGCGACUCUCUGGUCUGUAACUGAC